rnacentral:lncRNA from 1 species
AAAAAACAAUCCCAAAGUGCUCACUUCACUCAGUACUUACACCUGCAGUGGGCAAAAACCAACUACCAAGGCUACCAUAUCAAUGCAUGCCAGUAAUUUGCUGUGACAUACACCUAGAAAUGUGAGAAAUAAAGGUAUAGAGUAAAUUUGCCGCUGCUGCUUUAACCCAUAAAACUCCAAGCUCGUGAUUUUUACUCACACCUGGAAGUUGCAGGCGACAUGAAAGCUUUUGUCUCACUCAAAAUUAAAAUGCGUGUCUCCGUUCAGACAAAAUGCCAAGUCACAUCAGAAAAUCAUGAUGGCAUCUAUAUGUUAAAACAAUAUUUUAUAUAUGCAUGCAUUGAUUCUAAUAAGCAUUUAGACAAAGAUGUACAUGCAGCUAUUGCUAAUGGUUCUCAAUGCAAAUUGAUGAAAAGAUCGGGUACAACAUUAAGCAUUGCAGUUAAAGUUCUAGUUUAGCGAAUAAGAUUCAAGAAUAGGUUUUGAACUGACGAGGAAUUGGUUUAGCUCCCAAAAGGGUGUCGACUCCGGCGUACUUGCAUGACUUGCAAUAAACAACGCCCUGCACUGCCACAUGACUCGAUGUAGGUGGCUUGGCCGGAGGAUGAGAUGGUGGGUGUGUUGGUGGCUUGGUCGGGGACUGAGUUGGAGGCUUGGUUGGUGGCUUAGUUGGGGGCUGAGUUGGUGGUUUAGGCGGGGGUUGAGUUGGAGGUUUGGUUGGUGGCUUAGUUGGAGGUUGAACUGGUGGCUUGGGUGGAGCAGAAGUUGGGGGCUUGGUUGGUGGUUGCACUGGCGCCUUGGGUGGUGGAUGAACUGGAGGAGGAGUGGGGGUUGGGGGCUUAGUGGGUGGAUGAGGGUGAGGGUGAGGGUGAGGGUGGUGGUGAUGGUGGUGGGUUGGUGGGUGACUAGGCGGGACUACAGGUGAAACAGCAUGGUAAUGAGGAGGAGAAGCCUGAGGCCAAAUGGGA